GAGGUGGAGCUAAUCUCUAAAACCGUUCUCAGUUCGGAUCGCAGGCUGCAAUUCGCCUGCGUGAAGCUGGAAUCGCUAGUAAUCGCGGAUCAGCAACGCCGCGGUGAAUACGUUCUCGGGCCUUGUACACACCGCCCGUCACGUCAUGGGAGCUGGCAACACUUGAAGUCGAUGGGCUAACUUGCUAUUUUUAGUAGGAGGCAAUCGCCGAGGGUGGGGUUGGUGACUGGGACGAAGUCGUAACAAGGUAGCCGUACGGGAACGUGCGGCUGAAUCACCUCCUUU
rnacentral:rRNA from 1 species